GUCGGGAUAGCUCAGCUGGUAGAGCAGAGGAACUGAAAAUCCUCGUGUCACCAGUUCAAAU
rnacentral:tRNA from 1 species